GUAUGCUUUUAUGGACAAACACAUCUUCCCAAAUGAAUGAAUGAAUGAUAUAUCUCUCUCUCUCUCUGCUGGCAAGAAAGAAGGAAUUUUCAGUUAUCUUUCUCAACACUGAAAGUUUUUUUUUUUUUUUUUUUUUUUCAUGUUUAAUUAUAACCUGCGACUCAUUCAUUAAUGCUGAAUCUAUGGCCUGGUUUCACAGACAGGGUUUAGCCUAAGCCAGGAUUAGGUCAUAGUUCUUUCAUAGUAAUUUUUAUAAACAUGCCUUAGAAAAAAACAUUACUGGUGUGCAUCUUAAGACAAAACAAAUGCACUGACAUGUUUUAAGAUCAGUCAGUGCACGUUUCUUUCAGUUGAAAUAGCUCAGAUUUACAUUUUAGUCUAGGACUAGACUUAAGCCUUGUCUAUGAAACAGGGGGUUAAUGUGGCUUUUGAUUUCCGUUUUUCUGCAGAGUUUAGCUCCAACUUUGAUUCGACUCAGCUUCCUUUUAUUAUCAAUUAAUUUCAAUAAUUAAAUUAUUCAAUUAAUCAACAUUGAUUAGCUUAAUCAGGUGUGCUAGAUUAGGGUUGGAGCUAAACUCUGAAGAAGAGUGGCCCUUGAAAACUAGUUUUGAAAUUGCCUAUUCUGUUUAUAUUUAUACAGCAAAUGAAUUGCUGCAGGAGUCAAGCAUAUCAUGGCCUCUUGAAGUUGCUUCGCAGCUCCUCGUUGAAGAGCCCCAAUGUUCGGACUCUGCAACAAAAAGCUAUCGCACAAAAGUCUUGCAAAGACUACAAGAAAUUGUCGAGAACCAGCAAGACAUUCUGGCCAUGCAGAGGCAGUUACUGGCUGCAGUAGCUGUGACCGCGACACAGGAAGAUGGGGAAUUCCUGGAAUGGGCCAUGCCAAACAGUGGAGGAUCUGCAGACCCUUGACAGGGAUUUGGAAAAUAAAGAAAAAAGGGCCAAGAUGGUAAUACUUA